rnacentral:lncRNA from 1 species
GAAAAGCCUUCAGUUCAGCUGUGUAUGUUGUUUUUAAUGCACCAGUGGAAGAGCAGGCGUACCAGGGUCUAUGAGAGAUUUCUGCUUGGUCUUUGAAGGGCAGAAGAAUAUUAAGUAAGGUAUACCUGCAAAGAUGUUGCUAGGACUAUCAAGCAAUGGCAGGCAAUAGGCUGGGAUGCAUCUCCGUUGCUUUAUGUGAGGAUCAGAGCUACCGUGUUCCCAGAUGUGUCUUCUGCUGCCAGUGAGGUCUCUCCAGCCCAUCAUUCCAGCAGCAAUUUUGAAUUUCUCCUGGCUGCUUCCUAUUCUACUGAAUUUUCUCUGCCUAAAUCCCGGAAAAAGUUGUGGGAGAAAUCUGUACUGGCUAGGUCAUAGCAGAGCAGAAGCCCUCUAGACAAAAGAAGUAAAGGAAAUCUUGCAGUUAAGUUCAAAUAUUGAAAAAGAGAUUGUGUAUAAAUUUUUGCUUUCAUGUCCACUUCUGAAUGUUCUGGGAAGGUAAGAACUGCUUGUGCAAGAAUGUCUCCUGCUGGUGCUAGUACCUUAAGAUUUUG